rnacentral:lncRNA from 1 species
ACCCAUCCCGGUGGGAACCCCUGCCACAUGGCACACCCCGCCACAUGGCAGCAACAAGCGCUGCAGCGCAUCGACCCUAACCUCUCUCCUGUGGGCCCAAACUGCGCAGCCCACUACUCGCAGCCUCCUGGCCCACCAGGUAGGUUAUUGGUGCGCCUGGCGUUCCUCGAACCCAGGUUCUCACCCGUUAACAACCUUUUCACUUGACAAGUUGUUACCAAUUGAACUGCUGCCUUGUAACACCCCGACCGCCAUCUCUCCAGUGGGCCUCAUGUUCACCACCAGCCCAUGGGCCCACCUCUCUUAAUGGGCCUCACGUCCUCUCACUAGGCCCAUGAGCCCAUUUAUACCCGACAGUCGGUUUGCUACGUCCGGGAGGUUUAAAGUCUUGUUUACCGACCCUACAAAUCACCACAUGAUCUUCCCUGUGUUUUGGCCUCACUCACACAGUUCCGACAACCACUUCCCGGAAGGUCACCCAUCCUUUGACUACUCCAGUAUAAGCACGCUUAACUAUAGAGUUCUCUCAGGACAUUUGAACGAAAAGAUAAGUGCACUUUGGUGACAUAGGUGGCCAAAUCAAUUCAUUUAAACCUCUCCGCAACUGGGGUCUCACAAUUCUCCCCCACUAACAGAUCGCAACGUCCUCGUUGCGCACAACGAUCGUUACCCCCUGACAGUGUGAGCCCACCACUCCACACUUGUCUGGGUUCGGCUCUAAUAUCACUUGUAACACCCCGACCGCCAUCUCUCCAGUGGGCCUCAUGUUCACCACCAGCCCAUGGGCCCAUCUCUCUUAAUGGGCCUCACGUCCUCUCACUAGGCCCAUGAGCCCAUUAAUACCCGACAAUCGGUUUGCUACGUCCGGGAGGUUUAAAGUCUUGUUUAGCGACCCUACAAAUCACCACAUGAUCUUUCCCUGUGUUUUGGCCUCACUCACACAGUUCCGACAACCACUUCCCGGAAGGUCACCCAUCCUUUGACUACUCCAGCAUAAGCACGCUUAACUGUGGAGUUCUCUCAGGAACCUUGACCGAAAAGAUAAGUACACUUUGGUGACAUAGGUGGCCAAAUCAAUUCAUUUAAACCUCUCCGCAACCGGGGUCUCACAAUUCUUCAAUUGGUAACAACUUGUCAAGUGGGAAGGUUGUUAAAGGGUGAGGACCAGGGUUCGAGUAACGCAAGGCGCACCAAUAACCUACCUAGUGGGCCAGGAGACUGCGAGCAAGUGGGCUGCGCAGUUUGGGCCCCCAGGAGAAAGGUUAGGGUCGAUGCCAUGUGGCGGGGUGUGCCACAUAGCGGAUGAUCCCACAGGGCGGGUUGUUACAUAAAAAGUCGACUUUUUAUGUAACAACCCAUGCCGGUUGGAACCCCUGCCACAUGGCACAUUCCGCCACAUGGCAGCUACAAGCGUUGUAGCGCUGUAAGGAUGCCAUGUGGCGGGGUGUGCCACAUGGUGGAUGAUCCCACAUGACGGGUUGUUACAUAGUUCAAUUGGUAACAACUUGUCAAGUGGGAAGGUUGUUAAAGGGUGAGGACCUGGGUUCGAGGAACGCCAGGCGCACCAAUAACCUACCUGGUGGGCCAAGAGGCUGCGAGCAGUGGGCUGCGCAGUUUGGGCCCACAUGAGAGAGGUUAGGGUCGAUGCGCUGCAGCGCUUGUAGCUGCCAUGUGGCGGGGUGUACCAUGUGGCAGGGGUUCCCAGUGGGAUGGGUUGUUACACUAUUGAUAAGAAUUCAGAAUUUAGAGCACUAACCAUAUGCGUUGUUUGAUGGAAGCAACUUUCUAGCAACUCUCUAGCAACAUGGUUGAAAUCUUCAAACAUGUAGUAGUUUCAGUCUUCUCAGUUAGUUUGAUCUGGUAAGGAUGACUGGUAUUCCUCUGCUUCAAUAUCAGACUAAUGAGUUUAAAGUAUCUUAAAUCAUACCACUCACCAUCAUAAAUGUGUCGUGGUAAUUCAGGAUUCUUGAUACCAGGAGCUAUUGUCAUCUCAACUCUAUCACCCUAAAAAAAAUGGUUUGUUCGAUUAAUUAAACCUAAUUCAAUAACUAAUCUGCUAGUAUACGAGUAAAUGUGACCUAAGAAAAGUAAAUUACCUUAACAUCAGCGACAACAAAAACCCUCUUUGUAAAAAAUCAGAAGUAUGCCAAGUUCUCAAAACGUUGACCCUUAUGAUCCAAUCACUCUUUCUUGGAGUUAAAUCAGAGAUGUAAUCGGUUAGCACGGUUUUAAUCUUUUUUGUUUUGAAUAGAAAAAGUUUUAAGAGGUUAGGGUAAAGAUCUUUCGUCUUCUUCAAAGUUUUGUUAAUGGAAGUAACAAAAGGAGGUCUUUAAUAUAUUGAUUAUUAGUUGUUGAUCCGCGCUGCGCGCGAGAGUUUUAUAAUUAUUUUUUUAUAUUUUAAAAUUUAUAUUUGAUUUUUCUUUGUUUUUUUGUUUAUUUUUUUUUGUUUUUACUCUUGUUUUUGUAUUAAUUUAGUAUAUGAAAUUUUUAUUGUUAUUUGUUUAACUUUGAUUUAGGUCAAAUAGUAGCUCUUAGAACCUUACAUUUCAAAAGCCUUCAAUUCUUGUAGGCCAAAUUGUUCUGGUGAAUCCACUUAAUUAUUUAUCCAAGUGUUUUUAUUUUACUUUUUAGUUUUUUUUUUCUACUUCUUAUGCCUUAAAUCGGUUGUGUUCUCGUUUGAUGUGGCUUGGAUGACAUCAAUUUAGUGGUAUAUCUAUCUGUAUAGUAUAAAUAUCUUUUUUUGUAUUUUGUUUUGUAUUUAGCCCCAUUAAUAAAAAAUUGAUCAUUACUUUAUAAAUAGAUACUUGUUUUAUUUAUUUUGGACAUAAAUGUUUUUACUAUAUUAUUUAUUUUCUUAAAACCACUAUUGGAUAUAAAAAUAAAAUAAAGGCUAAGUUAUGAGGUAGAAAAGAAAUUAAAAACUAAAGUGAUAUAAUUCUAAAUCAAUGUAAAAAAUUAAGAUGAAUGAUGAUGUGGCAGCUGAUGUGAAAGAUGAUGUGGAAGAUGAUGUGGCAUAAGGAGAAGAGAGAAAAAGUUACCUUUAUAUAUAUAGAUAUGUAACUCUUCAUAUGUAUCGUUUCAAUUAAUAAUAGAAAAAGAAUUCUGACUUUCCAAAAAUAUUACCGCAAAGUCAAGAAUUUUAAGAGAAUAUUGUUCGUUGUGGUUGCCAUAUCAAUCAAAUCAUACACUUUAGUUUCCCAAAAUCCACUAUUUGGUUUGUUUCCCCGCCAAAGUUUGUUAAGGAUUUACAAAGGGUCUUUUAAAGAGUUUACAAGGGUUUUUAAAGGGAUUUACAAGAGUUUUUAAAUGGUUUUUUUAAAAAUAUUUGUAAUGGGGUUUAAAUGGUUUUAGAAGCUUACAAAGGUUUUUGAAUGGUUUUUAAAUGAUUUACAAUGGGUUUUUAAAAUUUUUUAUAAGUUUAUAACAGUUUUAAAAGGAUUUACAAGGAUUUUUAAAAGAUUUUAAAAAUUUACAAGGAUUUUUAAAAGUUUUUUAAAAGGAUUUACAAGUGUUUUUAAAGGCAUACAAGGAUUUAAAAACGGUUUUAGAAGGAUUUACAAGGAUUUUGAAAGAUAUUUAAAAAGAUUUAAAAAUAGUUUUAAAGAAUUUACAAGCGAUUAAAAGGGUUUUAGAAGUUAAAAAAGGGUUUUUAAGGGUUUACAAAAUUUUUUAAAGGUAUUACAAGUUUUUUAAAAUGGUUUUUAAGGAUUUAUAAUGUUUUUAAAGGGUUUAAGAAGUUUACAAAAGUUUUUAUUAAAGGAGUUAUAAGGGGUUUACAAGUGUUUAUAAAUGUUAUAAAAUGAUUUAUAAUGGUUUUAAACGGUUUACUCAAGUUUUGAAAGGUUUUGGAUGACUUUUAAAAGAUUUACAAGGGGUUUUAGAGGAAUUUUAAGGGAUUUAAAAACAUUUACAUAGUUUUUUAAGGAAAUGCGGAAAAAUUUGGCUGACAUAUUUUGGCGGGAAACUUUUUGACGGAAAAUUUGGCGGAAAAUUUUUCGGAAGUAGUAUUCUUUUUGCUGGAAAGAAUAUUCCUUUAUUUAUCAUGUGCUAUAAUAAAGGAGGGUAACCUUUUUAUGAGUUAUAACUAACCUCCUCGACACACUGAACAAACUGCACUCUCCGCUAAAUGCCGCCGGACUCUUUCCAUAUUAGUCAUAAUCACUUGGUGAGAAACGAGCCAGAGAAAGACUCGGAUUCUCUCCAGUACCUCGACAGCCCAAAUCCGUUUAAAAAUCGUUCCAUACACGGCCUAGCAGCGUUGUCCUGCGUCAAGAGAGCAUAAGUGGAACCCACACUAAAACAACCAUUGGAGUUUCCCAGCCAAGACAACUGAUCUCUCAAUAACCACGGCAUACAACUGUUGUAAAUUAUUCUCGGGGAGAUAGAACCACGGCAUACAACUGUUGUAAAUUAUUCUCGGGGAGAUAGUAAUCCUCAACCUCCAUACUUGCCUCAUCUGUUGGCAAAGGAACCAAAAUAAAGCUCGAUAGAGGCUCCGGUAAAAUCCAUCGAUCCGACUAAAACAAUAUUAAUCUCCCAUCUCCCGGCACCCAACCCAAGCCACGUGAAACAACUUCUCUUGAACCAACACCCACACUCCGCCAAGUUGAUGACAAUGUAGCUUUUGGCACAACCCAUAAGUAAUCGUGAACAUCACCCACCUUAUACUUACUUCUGAAAACCUUCGCCCAUAAACUCGUCUCAUCCCUAAGCAGUCUCCAGCCCACCUUAGCAAGGAGAGCUCUGUUCAUGUCCUUCGCUUAUUGUAAGCCCAAACCACCUUCUGAUUUUGGUUGGAAGAUCUUCUUCCAUGCUACCAAAUGAAGUUUCUUCUUCUCAGAUGUUCCACCCCAUAUAAACGUCCUCGAUAAAGUAAUCCGGCCUGCUAGGCUCAACAUGCGGCUCUUCUAACCGGACAGUUUAGAUGAGACCUUCUCCAACACCUUCCCAUAAGUCUCCUUAUGUAUUCGCUUAUGUAAAAUAGGCAUUCCUAAAUACUUUCUCAACUGCCUCGUAGAGCUAAUCCCGCUUUCCAAACUAAUCAGCCUCUCCAUAUCUCGGCUUACAUUUUGAGAGAAAAAUAUUUUUGAUUUUUUCUAAAAUUAUUUUUUUCCCGAAGCUAAGCAAAACCGCUCUAAAACGUUCCGAAUCACUCGAAUUUGAGUAACAGACGCUUCUGCAAAUAAAAUGAUAUCAUCCGCAAAGCACGCAUGAGACAGUUUCGGACCCCCUCUCGAAAGUUUGACCGGUUACCAACUCCCUUUGUUCACCUCUGCGUCAAUUAGAUGACACAACCUCUCAAGACAAAGCACAAAUAAAUAUGGAGAAAGAGGAUCUCCUUGGCGUAAACCACAAGCUGGUUGAAACGGUUCAAUUUUUUCUCCGUUCCACAAAAUAGUCAUUAACGGUUUUGUAACACAUUCCAUUAAACGCCGUACCCACUCAAUGGAUAACCCUGCUACUUCCAACAUCUCCUCUAAAAAAUCCCACCGUUUACGAUCAUAAGCCUUCUCAAGAUCCAACUUCAAUAACAUCCAACCUUUACGCCCUUUUUCCGACACAUUGAAUGAACUGCUUCCUGAACGAUAACGAUAUUAUCGAUAAUCAGCCUUCCGGGGAUAAAACUAACUUGGUCCGGACCAAUAAGCUUCGAGACAACCCCUUUCAGACGAAUCACCAUCAUCUUUGUGAUUACUUUAAACAACACGUUACACAAGCUUAUCGGCCUAAAUUGUGUUAUUCGUUCCGGAUUUGCUACUUUUGGUAGUAAGACUAACAACACAUCAUUUGUUGAACUCGGCAAUACUCAUGUAGCAAAGAACUUCAACACAAUAUCUGAAACUGAACCUCCAACAACUUCCCAACAAUCUAGGUAAAACACUAGUUGAAAGCCAUCCGAACCUGGCGCUUUAAACCGGCCCAUACUCUUAACUGCAGCCAACACCUCCUCAGACGUGGAAGGUUUUUCUAAUGCAUUCUUUUCCAUCGUACUCAAGCUCACAAAACCAUCUUUUGGCAACACUUCCCUCUCCUCUCCUAAAUCUGCCAAAGAGUACAACCUCGAAUAGUAAUCUAGAGCCAACUUCUCUAAUGCAUUCUUCUCCGAAACCCACCUGUUUUCAUCAUCCUUCAACAAUUCUAUUUGAUUCCUCCUCCUCCGAAUAAUUGUGGACGUAUGAAAGAAAGAUGUAUUUCUAUCACCCAACAAAACAAAUUUCUCUCUCGAUUUUUGGAACCAAAUACCCUCCUCCUGUUCUAGCACAUUCUCAAACUGAUUUCAUAACUGCUCCUCCUUAGCUAAUAAAUCUUUUGACUGCUGCACAUCCAAUCGCUCCUGGAUCUCCUUAAUCUCACCCAUCAACCUCUCUUUCCGAUUAUUUACAUCACCAAACACCUCUUUAUUCCACUUCUUAAGCUUCCAUUGAAGUUUACUAAGCGCAUGCGGUGUUGAAACACUUGUAUCCCACAACGCUGCCAACAAAUCCUUAAAGGUUUCAUGGUUUCACGAAGCCAGCACUUACACUCUCCCAACACUGGAUCUCCACAGCAACAAUAGACCUCCAAUUUUUCCUUCCGCAUCCACUCUAAAAAAUUCUCCAAACCCAACCUUUCACAAAUAUUUUGUGUGUGUUCCCCUCCUGCAUGCGUUUCAAAUAAUGCAAUGACAUACGUGUCGUAUUUCUUCAACAUAUAUCAUAUCGAUCGUCGAAAUUUGGGUUUAUUCGCCCCCGGCAGUUACAUAAAAGACAAUUCAAAUAAAUUCUUUAAAUUUAUAAAGAACAGACAGGGAAAAAUAUUUAUCCCCAUUCUCCCUCUCCAUAGCAACCAACCCCUCCUCAAAAGGAAGCUCAAAACUUGUACUCCCACUAGAUUCAACAUUUAUACUAACUAUUGUUUUCUCCAAGAUCUACAACGGCCUUCUCUCAGCUCCGUCUUUUCCACUUUCCAAGAUGUACACUCCUCCCUUUUGACCCACACUUUCAUUUUCAACUAGGAGGCGUUUUCCAGAAGCUGUACUACCCAUCUUACCUCGUAUGGGACCAAAAAUCAAGCCACGCACCGGAGCAUGUGGCUCUAACUGCUUUCCUUUAUGCCUAACAUUCCGCCAUGUUCUAUUACCGCGCAUUCUCUGCUCUAACACCUCUCCUUGACUUUUACCCAAAUCGUUAACUUUUUUCUCUGUCUGGCUCCUUCCAUCUCCAAAACGCACAACAUUUUGACAAUCCACAUUCUCUUUAUUCGCCUCACUCUCAACCAUGAUAUCCCGCUCCCCAGCCUGUGCCUCAUUCAUUUGCAGACCACUAAACCGAUUUGCAACACCGACAGUAGCAGUCCCACUUAUGUGGGCAUUCUCCACUAGUGGUCGACUCGGCUCCCCUCCUAAAUCCUAGGACACCACGCCAGCUUGCAAAGGUACGACACGCCUAUUCUUACUCCUCACCUUUGUAAGCCCAUCCGUUUUAUUCACUUCUUUUUGCUGACCCUGACCUUCCUCGGUACUACGCUGCGACGGUGCUCUACAAUUUUCUUCAAACAGGCAUACACCGUGUGCCCAUACACACCACACGUGGGACAUAUGUUUGUUAACCCUUUGUAAACACAUGAUACCGUUCAUCGUUAACUACUACCGUACCUUUUAACGGCUUACUUAGGUCCACCUCUACACAAACAUGAGCAAAACUCGCUCUCUCCAUCUUCAACGUCGUGAGAUCCACCUUCAGUGGCUUUCCAACUCGUUCAGCAAUACCCAUGAGAAUUGUUUCGUGAUAGAAACUAAUGGGGAUAUGCGCAAUUCUAACCCAAACCGGCGUGGUCACAAUCUCCUCACAAACGAGAUUAAAAGUCGGUGACCACGCUUGCACCAUCAAGAUACUACCAAAUACUCUCCAAGGACCACUCGUCAUUGCUGCCAUGUAAUCAUCCUCCGCGUCAUACCGGACCAUGAAGAACUGUCUCGGCAAGUCUAACACACACAUGCUCCCCUUCCACACCAUUCGGAAGCGCCAAACGCAUCCUUGACUUCACAAACUCAGCCGCUAAAACUUUCUCCGGAACUGGAAUCCCACUGCCAUUAGAACUUCUCACCUUCUCGACCCACAAACUCACCUACCCCACAACUCUUUCUGGUGGCCGACCGUCAUCAUCCAUGCACACAUCUUGAUCUGUCACGCUCAAAACCCUAGGGCUGAUAGGGUUCGACAUCGCCGCUUUUAGAGAUGAUUAUUACAGCAUCACAAUAAUAACUAUUUUCAUCGUCACAUUUAUAUUCUCAACUUGCUUUUAGUGAGAACAAAACUUAUGAGAAUAUACAUAAAAGGUUAGGGGGUAAUAAUUUAUUUCUUGAAUAAUAGUAAUAUGGUUACGCUAAAAGAAUGGUGGCUAAUAAUGUGAAUUAUAGUCUUGUAAAUGUUUAAAUUUGUAAAUGAUUUCUUCUAUACUAAAAAAUGAUUGCACACACAUUGAAAGAAGAAAACAAAUUGAGAUUUUAUUUAUGAACAUUUUUCAUAAGUAAAUAUGGAGAGGGUUAAUAGAAUUUACUUAUAAUAAAUAAUAUACCAGGUCAAAUGAUCCUUUAAGGAUUGCACUUGCAGAUGUGCCAAGAGAUUUCUUCAGCAAAACUGUCAAAUAUCAUACACCUUGUCUCACAAAUAUGAUCCAUGAUUUUAAGCUGAACCCAAAACCUAAUCAUUAUGUUUAGGAUAAAACAAUAAAGUUAACAAUGUAUAAUAAAAAGGUGAAAUGUCAUUAAAUAAUCUAAUAAAUUAAACUCACUUAGGGGAUAUGUGUGAGACCCCAGUUUGCAGAGAGGUUUAAAUGAAUUUAUUUGGCCACCAAUCUCACCAAAGUGCACUUAUCUUUCGGUAAAAGAUCCUGAGAGAACUCCAUACUUAAGCGUACUUAUGCUGGAGUAGUCAAAGGAUGGGUGACCUUCCGGGAAUCGGUUGUCGGAACUAUGUGAGUAAGGCCAAAAACACAGGGAAAGAUCAUGUGGUGAUUUGUAGGGUUGGUAAACAAGUCUUUAAGACGUAGCUAACCGGUCGUCGGAUAUUAAUGGGCUCAUGGGCCUAGUAAGAGGACAUGAGGCCAAUUUAGAGAGGUGCGCCCAUGGGCUGGUGGUGAACAUGGGCUCAUUGGAAAUAUGGUGGUCAGGGCGUUACAAUUUGUAUAAGAGCCGAACCUAGACAUGUGUGGAUUGGUGGGCUCACACUAUUAGGGGGUGACGAUCGUUGUGCGCAACGAGGACGUUGCGAUCUGUUAGUGGGGGAGAAUUGUGAGACCCCAAUUUGCAGAGAGGUUUAAAUGAAUUUAUUUGGCCACCUAUGUCAUCAAAGUGCACCUAUCUUUCCGUUCAAAUGUCCUGAGAGAACUCUAUAGUUAAGCGUGCUUAUACUGGAGUAGUCAAAGGAUGGGUGACCUUCCGGGAAGUGGUUGUCGGAACUGUGUGAGCGAGGCCAAAAACGGGAAAGAUCAUAUGGUGAUUUGUAGGGUCGGUAAACAAGUCUUUGAGCCUCUCAGACGUAGCUAAGUGGCCAUCGGAUAUUGAUGAGCUCAUAGGCCUAGUGAGAGGACGUGAGGCCCAUUACGAGAGGUGGGCCCAUGGUUGGUGGUGAACAUGGGGCUCACUGGAAAGAUGGCGGUUGGGGCGUUACAAUACGCCUUUAGCGUAAUCUUUACACGUCUCACACCAGAAUUUAGGUAUAGGUUGUUUUUAACAUCUUCUAGCUUUAUCGUGUCCUACUUGAUGGUUUUUUUUUUGCAUUUCUUACAUGCAUAGUAGAAACAAGAAUAGUCAGUAUCAUUUUCCGUAAUGGUACAAAGGGUUCGACAACAACCAACCUUAAACAAUUUAUAACUAUAUGAUUACAUUGAAAUUUAUUCAUGACAUAAUUAGGGGUAAAACAAUACGUUUAUAUACAUCAUAUGUUGCACGAUGCUCCUCAAUAGUCAUGAUGGGAUAAUCAUCUAUAUCUUCCUUUUUAUUACGGCCAAAGAGAGAACUUGUUUGUAAACUACCCACGAUUGUCAUUUGCAAACCGUCACUCUAUGGGGUGUGACAUAUAUACAAUUUAGAGUAAUAGUUCGUACUAAUUUUUAAUUUAUAUAAUAUAGUAAUUCUUUGCAAGACGUACCUUUUUCGGAUGUUCAAAAAACGGUAUGUUCAAAUUAGUAAGUUAUUGUGAGGAGUCAUAAGAAUUAGAGACACUCCAAACAUCAGAAUGUAUGAAUAAAUAUAUAUAUGAAAAGAAUAUCUUAAAACGAAUGACUUUUGUAAACUAACAGAAAAUAUUUUAAACCGAAAUUUACGGCAGGUAUAGUGUAAUGCCCCGACCGCCAUCUCUCCAGUGGGACCCAUGUUCACUACCAGUCCAUGGGCCCACCUCUCUUAAUGGGCAUCACGUCCUCUUACUAGGCUCAUGAGCCCAUCAAUAUCCGACGGGCGGUUAGCUACGUCUUGGAGGCUUAAAUACUUGUUUACCGACCCUACAAAUCACCACAUGAUCUUUCCCUGUGUUUUGGCCACAGUCACACAGUUCCGACAACCAUUUCCCGGAGGGUCACCCAUAUUUUUGACUACUCCAGCAUAAGCACGCUUAACUGUGGAGUUCUCUCAGUACCUUUGACCAAAAAGAUAAGUGCACUUUAGUGAUAUAGGUAGCCAAAUCAAUUAAAUUAAACCUCUCUGCAAUCAGGAUCUCACAAUUCUCCCCCACAAAUAGACCACAACGUCCUCGUUUCGCACAACGAUCGUCACCCCCUGACAGUGUGAGCCCACCACUUUACACUUGUCUGGGUUUGGUUCUGAUACCAUGUGUAACGCCCGACCGCCAUCUUUCCAGUGGGCCCCAUGUUUACCACCAGCCCAUGGGCCCACCUCUCUUAAUGGGCCUCACAUCCUCUUACUAGGCCCAUGAGUCCAUCAAUAUCCGGCGGUCGGUUAGCUACGUCCUGGAGGCUUAAAUACUUGUUUACCGACCGUAGAAAUCACCACAUGAUCUUUCCCUGUGUUUUGGCCUCACUCACACAGUUCCGACAACCACUUCCCGGAAUGUCUCCCAUUAUUUAACUACUCCAGCAUAAGCACGCUUAACUGUGAAGUGAUGUUUUCUCAGUACCUUUGACCGAAAAGAUAAGUGUACUUUGGUGACAUAGAUUGCCAAAUCAAUUCAUUUAUACUUCUCCGCAACCGGGGUCUCACAUAUAAUUGUUGCCUAAUAUACGUAAUAUUUGGAUAUUUAUUUGAACAUGAUGGCCCAUAAUUUCGAAAAUAGUUUUUAGGCCUUUUAAAUUGUAUUAAUUUUUGAAAAAGUUUGACAGGUAAGAUUAGACGUUUCUAGUUAACAAAAACAUAUGACUAAUUCGUAAUUGUAAAUAAAAUAUGAAGAUACUAAUAAUGAUAUAUUAAAAUUUGUCCAUACCACAAAUCAUCAUACAUGAAAUUAAUACCACAAAACAUAACACAAAUCAUCCCAAAACAUUGUCUAGACAACAACAAAAUGAAAUUAAAAACUGAGUCCAAAACAAAUAGAGAUUUUAAAACGUCUAAUCAACAUCCUUCAUAGUUACACUAGCGUUCUUCCCACGUAUACUCAGCAAGUCGUUCACUUCCUCUACCAACAUUAAACACAUAUUUCAUUAUAGUUAUGGUCAAAACAUUUGUUUAAUGGUACUAUAAGCUAUGUUUUUGUAAGGCUGUAAUGGAUGAUCAUAAUUUUAAUACACAAAUCAUCUUAAUUGGGUACUUACAGUAGAAUAACCAAGUUCAUUUCUUCAAACUCUUGGUCCAAUAUGAUUCUGGAGCAUCCAUACUGUGAAAUGAUACAUUGUUCACCUAGUAAUGAUAUACGAUAAGAAAAUAAUAUAAACAUUGAACUUAAGUAUUUAUUUUUAUUUUUUAAAAAUAAAAUUAAGAAGUAAAUUAAAUUAUAACCUUCAAAUUCGGAUAUUCUCCAGAAACGCAAAAUACACAUGAUAGGUUUAUCUACCAAAUCAUUAAAGAUAAGAUCCUCCCAACUGCUUUGAAAUUCUCUUGCGGAUUUCCCUACCGUAAGUCCAUAAGAGAUAAGAUUUCCUUUUGCCUGUAGAAGAGAACAUCAGAAAAUCAACUUAGUGAAGUACCAAGAAACUAAUAACAUAAUAUUUGAAUAAAUGGAAGACAUAAUUAUUAUACGUUUCAUAUGUGAAUGUGAAGGUUACAACGCUUUCCGCAUAUAAAUAUCCAUUUUCUCCAUCCACAUAAGUGAUUUCACGCAUUUGGGAUACAUUUGAAACAAUACCACAUGCAUCUGAAGAGGUAAUGAGUUUAAUUAUAAGUACGAUAAUAAACUUAACAAAUAAAACCAUUAAAUUAUCAUAAUUUUGAGAGAGAAUCACAAAAUAAGAGUUGAUUAUUAAAAUGAUAAUCAAGUGUUUUUCAUCGGGUGGGCUUUAAAUGUUGUUAUCUAUAGGGCUUACUAAAUACACUAUACUUGUCCUGAAAGUGUCAAUAUCUUAAUUAACCUUCACAAUAUCGGUGGUCGAGACAAUGUUCCCCCGAGCAACUUUUGCAGAGAUGUGACCGGCACAAUCCUAAAAAGUCAUCUCAUUAAAGUAUGAUAUCGAAUAAUAAUAGGUUAAUAAGAUAAGGUUAAUGAUAUUCCGUAUAACGCAGAAUCCCAAUUAGAAUUGAUUUGCAAACUUACAUGAGAUCAUUGUCUUUGCAACCAUCACCCAUAGCAACCUGCUAUCAACGACCACGUUAACUAGGAGGAUGUCCAUAAUAUACAUAACAAAAAGCGCGCUCUAAAUAGAAGAAACCACUAACAUCAUCAUUAUCGGCUAAUUUAUCCACAUGACCAAUAGCAGAGUUUAUAUCGACUGCUCCUACAGCGGCCUGGGAGGAAAUAAACAGAACCAAUGGUUAGAGUCCGCAGAAAAAGAGAUGGGCAAUGUGUAUAGAAGAAAUAACAGCAUGUACCAGACUGAUAUUGGCUUCCUCACCCUCAACAACCAAGGGUAGAUUAUCGGGGGCGUCACUGUCAUUUCCCACACGAGGGGUGACGUCGCCACUUAGUUCACGAAAACCACUAGAAGACCCCUGAUCCAAAGUAAAUAUACAAAUAUCAAGCAAUCAAUGUAUCGUGCGAUUCAAGUGAAGCACAUAAAUAAAGCAUUAGCGGGUAAUUAAGCAAAUAUCAUAUAACCAAUAACUUAAUCCUGUAAAAGAAUACUAAUCGAGUAAGAUGAAUAUUGCCCGGAACCACUUGCCUUGUUAUACCCAACAGCAGGUAACUGUUCCGCACUCCCGCAAGUUCCCUGCACCAGGUUUUCGUAAAGGUUAGAUAUGAAAAAAGUGAAAGCGUAUCAUUCCACGUUUGACUUAUUCGUUGGAUGUGACAGAUACCUCUGUAACAUUGGCUGGAUAAUGCAAAAGAAUAUCAGCAACGGGCCAACGGCAGAAUCGACGGGGUCAGUGGGGGUUGAUCCACAUCCAUAUGAUUGGUGGCUUCUGGAAUCCUGGGCAGAUUAGAUCCACGUACAGGCGAUGUCUGAGGAGAAGAAUUAGUCCUCUGAUCUGCCGAAGAAUCACCGUCGCUUCCAUCCUAGUUUUUGGGGGUUGCACAGAGUCCGUUGGUUGUAAUCCAGCUGGUAACACGCUUGAAGAUACGGUCCUCCAUUGAGGAAAUUUCAGAGUCCAACAUAGGAGAGAGAGUGGCAAGAUUGCAUGUGCCAGUCAACCGCGAAGAGUCAGAGGCAGUGGGAGGCGGGUGUUUAAAUUUUGAUGCUUGGUUAGGAGGAGGUUUUUGCCCUUUGCGAGCUCGGCUAAUUUUUGCAAGGACCCCCUUUUCUGCUUCUUUGGUGCCAACUCCAGCUGAGAAGGUAUGCAACCGCCAGUGAACAUGUCGUUGUUGAAUAGGAAUCCAGACUCCGCAAGAGACAAUAUAUUGUCUACAGCCACGUCUUCACAUUCAUCAUCCCAUGUCAAAUCCUCAGCAUGAUCCAUCUCAAGGUCCGGGAAAAUAACAGGGUCAACCAAAAUCUGGAACAGAAAAUGGAUAACAAUUUAGUUAUAAGUUUUGGAUCUAAUAUUAACUAAAACUAUUAAAUACAUAUUUAGUUAAGACCACAAUUUAAAAAGAUUUACUUAUUUAAUUACGUGAUAACAAUUUCGUUAUCAGUAUCAAUUAAAAAACUAGAUAAAGAUAAGUUUAGAUAUUAACCUCACAAAUACCAUCCAAUCGUUUUGCAUUUGAUAUUUUCAACGUUACCGAGCUACGGUUCCCAACAUCGGCCGCAGGUUCUUCCUGUGAAUCGCUACAGGGAAGUUCGUCCGCUGGUGACCCAUCUUGAAUAGCUGGCGCAGCUUGAAGGAUCACGAGCUGUAAUGCGUAUAAUACGCCUUGGACGGUGACACAAGUGGUAGCUAAUUGCACAACAUCCCGGUCUUUGAUAGACUUCAUCAUCGUCUCAAAUGACAAACGCCCCCAAGGGUAUCCAAGAAAGAACUGAAGAUCCUCACACAUCUUGGCGUGUUCUUUGACAAUUUUGGGGUAAUGAGAAGUUGGCACCAAGAAGCCAUCUACUAUGGCCAGGCAAGCGAAUCUUUUCCGAAUUUCCUUGUCCGUGACAUGCCUCUUCUUAAGCAUGGAUAUGACCCGAUCAACAAUAACAUCUUCCUCUAGUCCGAAUAGAGUACUAUAGUAAGUAAUUUUCUUCCCAGUCGUCCAUUUCCUAUUUCUCUUUUGCAUGUUUGGAAACCUCCCACAAUUUAGCCCAGUGACGAUCUUGACUCUCGGAGUGAGAAUUGAAUCGGUGUCCCGGCAAAGACGACCCAGAUUUCGUGAGGCUUGGCCACUUCAAGCUGUCUUGAUAGAAGAAAAAGCCCAAACGAGGCAGACUAGGCCGGUUUGUUGGGGAAAUCCAAGAGAUUCUCAAAUGAGGUCGAUCUGAGCCAAUCUCUCUCCUCAUCAUCCAUUGCGUCGAAGAUCAACGAAAGGUUUUUCAUCUUGUUAUAAACAUUGACUCUUUUGCCCAGCGGCUCUUCUCCGAAAGCAAUAAUCCGAUUGGGUAGUUCCAGAUCCGUCAUCUACAAAUUUUGAUUUAGGUUAUGGUACAAAAAUCAAAUAACAGCCAAGAACAUACCAAAUCGGAACAGGCUAAGAACUCACCGUGAAUAAAUAGGAUAAAAAUCUGAAAAUCAGAAGGUUUCGAGAAAUAUGGUCCAAAAAUCCAGUCUGAGAAUAGAGAGGAAGCCAAAAAGUUUGAGGAAGAUCGGUUGCAAACUAAAGAAAUGCUCAAGGGGCGUAAACCUAAUAUAUUCCCGAAACGCCACGACCGCCGCUGCUAUACAAUCAAACCAAGGCGAUGAUUCAAAAAUAACACACCCUAUCUUUUUUUUUUCCCUAGGCUGGAAGAAAUCCAUACUAAAGAUUUAUUUGCAAUUUCUCUGAGCAAAUGAAAGCCUACAGACUAAGAGGUAUAUAGGGCUAAUAUCGAAACCGAUUUAAAGAGCUAAUUUAGAAAAGAAGAGAGCAGUCUAUUCGAAUAAUGGUCAACUGAGUACAUGGGUUGUAGUCUUGUAGAUACCCUUAUCUAUAUAGAAGGGGGUUUGGCAACAAAAAUAUCUGUUUUAAUAUUACACUAGGUUCGGACCCGCGCUACAGCGCGGGGGAAUGUUUUCGGUUCAUUGUUUAUCAUAUGUGUUAAUAUUUUGUUUAUUUUAGUAUCAACAAUUAUUAUUUCGAAAUAUAUUUGGUUACAAUUAUUUGGGAAAAAUGUGUAUACAGAAAUGAAAUACAAUAUUUAAAUAAAACAUAUAAAAUAACGUAUAUUAAAAAAAUACAAACUCACAAUAUAUAUUGUGACGAACCAACCGGUAAAGAUCCGUGUAUUUAUAAAGAAUCAUGAAAAAUAGAAGUUUAAUUAAAUAAAUAUAAUUGAAUCAUGAUAUAAAAUGAGUAUAAUUGAAAAAUGAGAAUUUUAAAGCCCUAUAAGAUAAAAGUAUAACUAGCUUUUAAAUUUGAAAUAAAAGUUACGUCAUAAAACUCAAAUGUUCGUAUGAUAACAAUCAUAAUUUUGAUUCACUUAACUAACUUUCUAAUAAGAAAAACUUAUGUAGUAUACUCUUAGUAAAUAUAGUGAUUUAGUUAAUAUAAUAUAAGGAAUAUUUUAUGCUUAAUAUUCAGCUAAAUUUUUAUAUUUUAUUUUAUAUUUUCAAAAGUACUUAAAAAUAAGUAUAAUAUUUUUUAAAAAUAAUAAAAUUGAUUAAUUAGUUAUUAUUAUUGCUUCCCAAAUAAUAGUAAUGAUAAUUUGUGUAAUAUUUUUUAUAUUAAAAAAUUAGAUGACAUGAGCUCCCUAAAUUUAGUCUUUCACCCCCCCCCCCUAAAUUAAUAUAAAAAUAUAUGAGCUCCAUAACUAAUUUUGCAUUAAUUAUGCUAAUGUUCAAAUAUUUUUCCAUUUUUUAUAAGUCAUUCAAACUGAUAAAGAUAUGGAAUAAUCUUGGAACUCUUUCAUAUAUUCUUAUUCUGAUUAAAAUCUUUCAUUGUACAUAUUAGGAAAGAUAAAAAAAUAAUAAUAAUAAGGAUCAAAUAUAAUUAUAAACAUCACACCAAUUCUUAUUAUUAAAUUCGUUAUAUAUAUAUAUAUAAUUAAUAAUAAAAUUAAUAUAUAUAUAUAUUAAAUUCGUUUUAUUAAUUUUAUUUUAUGAUUUUAAGAAACAAUUAACUAAACCCAACUGAUUAUCAUUUUAAUACCAUUAUCUAUGUAGUUUUAUGUGCAUUUUUUAUAUUUGUUAUACCAAAUAUUUUUAAAGUAUGUUUUAUAUAUAUGUUUUUUUCCGUAAAAGAGAAGUACAAAUGGGAUAUGGAUCGGGUUAUUUAAAAAAAUUACCCGAAAUUCUGAAUUUGGAUAUUUAAAAAACGGCAAAAAAACGGAUCUGAAUAAUACCGAUUAGUCAUUUAAGUAUGAAUUUGCGAAAACUUCUCAUUUGCGAAAACUUCUCAUUUAAAAACAUGAAGCGGUGGAUUUUGAAUCAACCAGCUGUGUGCAUAUGUACAUUAUUGUGCCUCCUCCAAUGACGGUAAGAAUAGUUUUUUUUUUUUUUUUUGAAAAAGGCUUGCAAUUUAAAUAAUAAUGCCCAAUGGGCUUACAUAUUUCCGGAAUAAGCCCAUACAAUAACCCCAUAGGGCCCAAUCUGACAUCUAACCAAACUAAACCAAACUAAAACAAAACCGAUCCGGUUUCGGAGUACCAAAAUUAACCGGUACCCACAGAAACCCUAAUCUACAACGCAAAACGCGUCGCAGCCGCCAUCCACAACUGCGGAUGCACACCGACCGGACCUCCGGUGUACCUGGACGACGCGGAUCGAACGGAGGAGGUGAUCCAAGAUCCGUUUGCCUCUCCGCCACCGUAGAGAAACUUUGAGGAAGAGGAAGAAACCGAGCUGUUGGUGUCGAGAAAGCUUCAAGCUCCGACGUGAGAUUGAAAGGCGGUAGGGAGUAGAUCUAGGAACCGUCAACAGUGGCUUAGCUCCACCCGACCGGAGUCAACCUCCCCCAUCAAGCGGCGGCCUAAUGAAGCCUCCAGGAUCUCCGGUUCCAGACCUAACCGUCUUCUCUCUCAUGCUUCGCCGUGAAAACUUCCUCUUCCAUUCUGCGGCGCUACACCCCCGGUGGAGUCAUCGACGGUGUCUCGCAGAAGCUAUCCCUCUUCGCUUCUCCCUUGAUUUUGAUUCGUUUGUGAAGCUUAGAAGAUGCAGCAGAUUGCGUAGUUGAAGAACCAUGAGCCAUAGAGUCCUCAUCGUCGCCGGAAUCGACGGAGGACCCAUCGGAAAAGCAAGAAGUUGUGCUCAGAAGAAGAAAGAGAAGGGAGAAAGAAAUCGCCGCGAGUGGAUCUCACGCGCACGAUUUCUUCCUUUUACUGGUUUCGGUAAGAAUAGUUUACACUCCCAUUCUCUGAAAAUAACUUUUUUUGGGGUCUUGGUAUAUCUUCCCAACAAAUGUUUAGUAUUGUUUCAUUAUGAUUUACAUUGCAGGAAAUAAAGACGGGUCAAAAAUUGCAUAAAUAGUAAAACAUUUCUGUGGUGACUCCUCGGUCCUCAGUGUUACAUGUCAUAACUCAUUAGUCAUCCCUAUAUUAGUAAAAAAGAAGUACAAAAAGUGCUUUCGGGUCGGGUCAAUUUCAAAAAAUUACCCAAAAUCUGUAAUUGGAUCUUUUAAAGUUGGAUAGAUUAAUG